UCUCCUUCCGCGCUAGAGGGCGCCGGAGCGGGCUGGGUUACCGGGCGGAGGAAAGGCGGAGCUCCGGGAGAGAAGAGGCGGGCGGGAGCCCAGAGGCCUAGGCUGCUGAAAUGAGUAAUGAUGAUGAUGAUGUUCCUCAGCUUUCAUCUGAAGCUUUAGCUGCUCUGCAGGAGUUCUAUGUCGAGCAACAGCAGAGAGAAGCUAAGACUACUGAUAAAACUCAAAGUUAUUCGGUUGGCUCUAUUGAAGAGAACUGGCAACUGAGCCAGUUUUGGUAUGAUCCUGAGACGGCAUUUUGUUUAGCUAAUGAGGCCAUAAGAGCAGCUGGGAAAGGUGGCAGGAUAGCUUGUGUCAGUGCCCCGAGUGUUUAUCAGAAACUGAAAGAGCAGGACUGCCAAGGUUUUUCAACCUGCAUUUUGGAGUAUGACCAGAGAUUUUCUGUGUAUGGAACCGAGUAUGUUUUCUACGAUUACAACAGUCCUUUGAAACUUCCAACCCACCUUGAAGCACAUAGUUUUGAUAUUGUCUUAGCAGAUCCACCCUACCUAUCUGAAGAAUGUCUCCAAAAAAUAGCAGAAACCAUCAAAUACUUAACUAAAGGAAAGAUUCUGCUCUGCACAGCAUCCCCAUGGUCAUGUGAUGAAAAUUCAGAUGCUUAACAACUUACCCAUACUUAUGGCAGUUGCAAUGUCUCGGGGUCAUGUGAUCACCUUUUGUUACCUUCUGACAAGAAAAGUCAAUUGGGAUGACAGAUAUUUAACAACCAUGAUGCUAACUGAACAACUACAGUGAUUCACUUAACAAAUAUGGUUUAAUCAUGGAAGAAUAUGCUGCUAAAUAUCUUGGUGUGAAAAUGUGCAAGUUUAUUCCAAAACAUGCUCGAAAUUUAGCUAAUGAAUUUCGAUGCUAUGUGAAUUAUGAUUCUGGACUGGAUGUGGAUUCUCUCUCUUGAUAACCCAAUAAAUAUUAAUAGGAUUUUUCAA